UUGGCUUCUUGCUGCUGCAGUGUUCACUGAAAUGCAAAUUGGGAACCCUGUACUCCAUAGCUUCUCGCGGCAGAAUAGGAUGCUCCUCACAAUUUACAAACAACACUCCUAGAUUUUAUACUGCGGUAUUCAUGUGGAUAUAAGGGACGAUGUAAUCGCAACAGACUUGAGCUUUUUCACUAAAAUGUAAUAAUUCCCUUGGCAACUCCUUUGUUAUGUCAUGGCAUGUUGAGUGGAAACUAACUGUCGGGACAUGGAUUUCUUUGAGCUUUUAAUUUUUUGUUGAACAUCAGGUAGUUUUUAUCAUUAGUUAGCUAGAUUCACAUAUAUAUUUACAGGGAAACGUGAUUUUGGGUCUGAAAUUCAGCUACGAGAGAUUUCAAUAGUUUCUGCAAAUUAGAAGAAUGGUUCUUCUCCUUUAUUUCUGGCAGGUUGAAUGUGAGGGGCUUGCUCUCAACUGGAUAAUUUGAUGUAGGUGUAUUGUCAUUGCCAUGAAGGGUUAGACGUGUCAUAAGUUGAGCAAAUGGCUUUGCAGAAGAAGCGAGGAACCCAUUCGAAGGGGACUCAUGACAGGGAGCAAUGAGGAAGAAACACACCUCUCUCUACCUCGCCAAGAACAGCCUUCGCCUGUUAUCUGGAUUGAUAAUGAAGAGGAAUAGGGAAAAAGAGGACGAGCUGAAGGGAACUAAAGGCAGAAGAAUAAAGAAGUAAGGAGGGAGGGGAGAUCGCAGCCUCCAAGGCAACAUCAAGGCCAAAACUGGAGUUGUCCUGUCACAUGGCUCACUGGUUAGGAAACUGCUUGAGGUCCUUUUGUGUCCUGUGUCCAGUAAAAUGUUAAAAGAAUGCUAUAUCUAAAAGAAGAUUUCAUAUGUCCUGGAAGGAGUCAACGUUCUCCUCUUCAUUUGAAAGUGCAUUACAUCAUAGUCCUAGGGUACUAUCUCACAAAACACAAUGACAACCAUGGAUUUUAUGUGUCGCUGCUGUCAGUACUUGCAUUCAUAAUUGGAGACUUUUGGUUAAGUUUUUCAUUUUUUUUUGUCAAAGGUCGUUUAUUUUUUGGGGGGUCUAUUUGAAUAUGUACAUGAUUGUAUUAUCACAAGCAUGUAUUACAUUUGAAAUCAUUUUUAUUUGUGAAGUGAGUGUGUUUUUCCGGUUGGAAAAUAUAGGGGGGCCACACUUGUCAAGAGAAUUGAAUAAAAAUAUGUGAAUUGUGUGACAUGAAUUUGAUACCGUGAAAUCCAUACUCUGAGACAAGGCAAUGACUACAUGAAAUUUAUAGUUAAGUUCUGACAAAUUACUAAGUGUAAGGAGUUUGUGGUUAAUGUUUAGCUUAAGUGCAGAGGUCCUACAUUUUCAAAAUGGAGGAGCAUUUCAUUCCCAAUACAAUUGACAUGGAUAUUUAAUAGAAUGGUGAGGUGUGUUGUUCAGUAAAAGACU